UGGGGGGGGGGAAAGGGCUUUUCUUCCCACCCCCAGCCUUCAGAAGGCUGUUCUGAAGGCUGGUGGUGGGAAGAAAAGCCCUUCUUCCCACCUCCCG